AUGGCUGACUCUCCACAGGGCGGACUGUGUGGUGCACGGGAUUCAUGGCGUCACUCACUGGUAGAAUGCACCUCGUCAAGAAGCGUAUGGGCACUUACGGGGGAAGAGAUCACACAUAAAAUCAUAACCACUACUGAGCCUAAGGCGAAACAAUGGCUUUUCACACUGAUAGACUCAUUCUCUCACGAUGAUUUUGUCCUCGUGGCGGUGACACUAUGGUCAAUUUGGCAUGCAAGACACAAGGCCAUCCACGAGUCAAUUUUCUAGAGCCCCCAUGCUACACAUGGUUUCAUCACGAGCUUCAUUACUGAGCUCGGAGCCCUCAAAGGCAAUAAGGAGCAAACAAGGACGAGCCGGACGUUUUCGAAUCACGCAAAGAGGCCACCCCAAGGUUACUGCAAAAUACAUGUGGACGCUGGAGUUCGAGGGAAAACAGGAGGUUCUGCUGUGGCAAUAUGCAGGGACGAAGGGGGAAAUUUUCUCGGUAGCUCGGCGCUGGUGAUUGAAGGAGUCACGGAUCCAGCUACCUUGGAAGCAAUGGCGUGUCGGGAGGCUCUAGCCCUCGCCGAAGAUCUGGGUAUCCACCAGUUUAUAGUGGCGUCGGACUGCCAACAGGUGGUCUUCGAUAUUACAAGGAAAACCCGAGGACAAUAUGGAGCUAUCAUUAGUGAGAUUAAUCUGAAAGUUUCUCUUUUUCAAUGUUCUUUUACUUUCGAGAGUCGUGCUGUUAAUUAUGAAGCACCUAGAUUAGCUAAGUUUUGUUUGAGCGGCCCAGGACACCAUGUAUGGCUUGGCACUCCACAUGACCCCAGAUGUAUCCCACUUCUUGUGGAAUUCCACGAAUAA
rnacentral:rRNA from 1 species